rnacentral:lncRNA from 1 species
GUCCGUCGGUCAAAUAGUCAUCUACAAGCACCUACUUGUGCUCUAUAAAAGAUCUUGAGAUCUAGCCUAUGGGACAUCUGAAAAUUAAGCGACCUUUUUUUCUUUCCUUCUUCGAGAGUCCAACAUUCUAUAUUUUCUCUUUCUUUGUUUCAAUUGCUGAGUUUUGAGAGAUCUGUCCAUUCUUUCCAUGAUAGUGCUCCAACAGAGGAUAUUCCGAUCAUAUCUUGGGAUAGCAUUUUUGAUAAAUACUGGCAUAAGGGUUGGAAAUUUGCCUUAGGACAGUCAUCACAUGCUUCUGGACUUUUAUUUUUAUUUCUGC